rnacentral:rRNA from 1 species
CCAGAACUCCUACGGGAGGCAGCAGUGGGGGAUAUUGCACAAUGGGGGAAACCCUGAUGCAGCGACGCCGCGUGUGGGAAGACGGUCCUCUGGAUUGUAAACCACUGUCCCCAGGGACGAAGAUGACGGUAUCUGGGGAGGAAGCUCCGGCUAACUACGUGCCAGCAGCCGCGGUAAUACGUAGGGAGCGAGCGUUGUCCGGAAUUACUGGGUGUAAAGGGAGCGUAGGCGGGACUGCAAGUUGGGUGUCAAAUCUACCGGCUCAACCGGUAGCCGCACUCAAAACUGCAGUUCUUGAGUGAAGUAGAGGCAGGCGGAAUUCCUAGUGUAGCGGUGAAAUGCGUAGAUAUUAGGAGGAACACCAGUGGCGAAGGCGGCUUGCUGGGCUUUUACUGACGCUGAGGCUCGAAAGUGUGGGGAGCAAACAGGAUUAGAUACCCCCGUAC